CCAUGGUGACAGAGAAGACAACACAACACUGGGGCAGAUGAGAGCUGAGACGCAGAGCCCUUCUGAGAAGCAGCACAGGCUAGCUGGGAACCAGGAAUUUCCUUGACGAAACAGACCAGAGGGAAGCCUUGGGAUCUUGGGGCAGUGACGAGGAAAACCUCAGGGUUGGAGGAAGGAGGGGCCUAGAGGCUGCUAUUAAAAGAAUAAGGAAAAUGCUCUGUAGAGUUAGUAAAAGAUUAACACAGUUCCCCCCAAUGUCGUACGAUCCCAGAGCAUUGCCAAAUACCCUUGGCAUCUCGUGGGAUGAAGUAUGAAGAGAGGUGGGAAGUUGGGGGACAGGGGUCAGGAAAAUGAAGAUCCCACAUCUGAAAGGGGCGAAAGGGUUACUGUUUUGUGAAGUUGAACCCAAGCAUUGCAGGCCUGAAGGAAUGGGAAGAGCUAAGGGCCGGGGAGCCAGCCUGCAGCGGAGGGAAGUGUGCACUUACACUGAUUUAUUGCAGGAGCAAGGAAGGCUUGAAAUGUGCUUCUGGCCACAAGACAAGACAGAUGCCCCUCUGCCAUGUGCCACUAUGCCUUGGAGCCAGCCAAGAUUGAAACUUCUAUGAAUCCAAUGGGAAUGGAAUCCAAGGACACUUGACCACUGAGAUAUAUCCUCAUUCCUUUUUAAAAUUUUAAAAAUUUAAGAUACAGUCUCACUAAGCUGGCCGGGCUAGCCUCAAACUUGGAAUUCUCCUGCCUCAGUCUCCCAAGUAGCUAGGAUCACAAGUGCACACCAUAGUACCUAGCUAUAUAGUAUUAUGUCAUUUUAUAAAAGGGACUUGAACCCUGGCAGAUUUUGGUAUCCUCAGGGGUCCUGGAACCAGUUCACCUUGGAUAUUGAAAGAGAGAGUUAGUAUACAUUAACAUCCUGGACCUAACUACAGUGGUCAAGACAUCCUCUACAUGAGAUCAUAAGGGCAAUAGAGUACUAUGAUAAGCACCUAAAAUAUCAAAAAAGGGCCAAGUCAUGUUCCAAAUACCCUACUAAACAAAGCAAAGAAGAAUGUAUAUAGCUUUGAGAGCCCAUCAGAAUGAUUUCAAUUUAAACUUGGCACCCAAAGAUUAAACUUUUUAACACCUUAGAACAAUUCAUCCUUCUGGGGUGCUAAACAACUGAGAUUUUUAUCAUACAGCCUCAAAAUAGCUAAGGAAGAGAUUCUAAAUCAGGUUGAUGUCCUCCUUUUUUUUUUCUUAGUUAUUAUGUAAGGGAACAACUACACUUUAGAACCUUAUACAUAAAUCAGCCUCCAUUUAAUGGCCCCUGGGCCAGCGUUCUUCUGGUGUCAAAUAUGGGGCUCCAGUUCACUCCCAAAGGGAGAGGUGCCCAGCUCUGCUUUAACCUAGAAAUCUCCACUUGAAUCCUCCCCUCUGAGAAAAUCUGGCCUCUUGGAUGACCUGCAGUUAUCCUGGGAACUGGGUUGCCAAAACAAAAGUGCCAUGCCUGAUGUACUAAUGAAUUCAUGGAAAUGCCUAAUGAAAUAAGGUUAUAAGGAGGCAUUGGAAAAGUUUUUCUCUCUUUUCUUAAAAAAGCUGGCCUUUCUUUUUGUGAGUAUAUGUACAUACACACACACACACACACACACACACACAUUUUCCAAAUGCCCUAAAUUAGUUCAGGUUCUGGCCUGACUUUUGCUUUUCUCCUUCUGAGAUCCAAUUUCCUUUCUCAAAAUUCAGGGGGUUUUAUUGGCCUUACUUACAUGGCAUUCCAUAUGUUUGACAUAUUAUAGUAUCUUCUCUCUUCUUCUAGAAUGAAAGCAUCUUCAGGCAGGGUCCGUGUCUUCUUCCUUUUAAAUCUUUUAUCUCCCCAAACAUCUAGAAUCCACAAUGCCUUUCCCACUCUCAACAAAUGUUUAUUGUUUUCACUUACUCCUGUAAUAGUAAUAAUAAUAAUAGUAUAACACAUAUUUAGCACUUACUAUGUGCCAGGCAUCAUUCUAGGUACUUCAUAUGUAUUAAUUUAUUCAAUCCUCCCAACAACCCUAAUAUUAUACAGAUGGGGAAACUGUUGCACAAGUUGAUCGAGUAACUUUCCCCAGGUCAUGGAGCCAAUAAGUUAUCACUGAGCUGAGAUUUGAAGCCAAUCUGUAUAGGUGUAUCAGUCAGUAUUUACUAGAGAAAAAGAUAUAACACAAAAUAUACAAAAAUAGAUGAAUUUACAAGAUUGGCUUACAAUGGCCUCCUACAGAGUCACAUGAGGAAGAAUGCAGAGGAUCUGUCUGAACACUGGAGUCCAAAGGAUUUAGCUGAAGGUCUGCAGUGUCCUUCAACUCACUGCAGUGUCCUGUACAAGUCCAUAUCAGGAGGCCAAUGGGUCUGCAAUGGAAGGCUGAUGAAUCUAUGCUGGAAGGCUGAAGGAUCCUAGCCAGAAGCUGAAGAGACUGCCCAGGAAGCCAGGAGAUGACAUCCAAGGUGAAGGCAAAGACUGGAGCUCCUCUGAAGAAAUAGAAGCACAAGUCUCCUUCCUCCUUCCUCAUUUCCCCUUGAUACCAUCCAGGCAACAAGCUGCCCUAGGGUGCAGAAUUGCUGAGCUGAUUUAGUUAAACUUCUCUUAACUAAACUUCUCAAGCUGACACAAUCAGUCAUCACAGUUGGCUCUACUGACCAUCUUCCAAACCACUUGGCUAUACUGCCUGGCCCAGUGUACAGAGGACCCAGAUAUGACUUAUCAGUUUAGUCCUCCCACACCUGUCCUUUGCUGUCACAGCAACAGAACAACUGGCUGGGAUAUAAAACAGUUACCACUUUCUAACAGGACUUGUCUGUAGCUGUAAUUGCAUCACAAAUGAGCUCCAUGGUUAUUGUCCUCACCCAAGCAGUCCUCACACAUCUGCAAAGCCUCGGGUGAACAAGAUGUGGUUAAAAGGUAGGGUAAAAUUUAUUACAGCAAAAGACACAUUGCCGGGCUGGGGAUUUAUCUCAGUGGUUCUGCCGCCUGCCUCACAAAUGCAAGGUCCCGAGUUCGAUCCCUGGUACCAAAAAAAAAAUGCCAUUAAUCCCUCUUGAAAUACUUCCCCUCAUUUUGAACACACUUAUUCCAUUGUUCUUGCCACUUUCUAAGCAGUUCUGGAAGUCCUCUUUCAUAAGUGUCAUAACAAGAUGUCAUCGAAAAUACAGUGGGUGCUGCUGCUGAGUGACACCUGAUGAGAAGGCAGUCUCAUGAAAACAGUACGGUGUGUCCUUAUCCACUUUAUUCACCCGACCUGGCCCUAUGGGGCUUCUGAAUCUUCCUCAAAGUAAAAAUUACUGUGACAAGUAAAUGUUUUGAAUCGAGUGAAGACAUCAAGGCAGCCUUGAUAACACAACUAAAGACACAAAAGAGGACUUCCAGAACUGCUUCAGAAAGUGGAAAAAAUGAUGAGAUGAGUGUGUUCAAAGCAAGAGAGUAUUUUAAGGGAGAUUAAUGGCAGUGUGUUUUUUUACCGUCAAAGUCUUUUUUAAAGUUACAUAUCAUCCUAGUUUUCAAUCACACCUUAUAUGUUGAAGAUAUAACAAGGAGGAAGGAGCUCCAUUUUAGUCCUUUCCACAUUUGAGAUCCAGGGAGAAAAGGGCAAAACUUGUAACACUGAUAAAAAAGCAAGGACGUGUUCCCAACCUCUGCCCCAGAUCACUUCUUUCUCAUUUUUCAGCUGUCAAGACUUGGGCCACAGGGCAGUUUUCCUACUGUGGGCUUGUGAGUCUGGGUCUAUCCCAAAGGCCUUGCAAAUCUCUAUGUGGAGCACACCAGAAGCACAGUGCUUGAAAGUUACUCUUUGACUUGCACUAUGGAGCUGAGACAAGGGAUUAGUAGUCUGGCUCAACAAGUCAGUCUAGAGGAGCCUCUAGCUUAAAGCCAUCUCCUCUGAGGAUUCUGAAGGUUUCCUAGAGCACUGUUCCUCAUACCUUAAUAUGCAUAGAAAUACUUGGGAAUCUCAUUAAAAUGGAAAUCGUGGUUCAAUAAGUCAAGGUGAGUCUAAAUUCUGCCUUUCUAUCAAGCUCCUAGGGGAUGCUAAUGCUGUGGUCCAUGAACAACACUUUAGCAUCAAAGGACUGGACUAGCUGAAUUUGUUCCAUGCACUUAGCUGUUUUAGAGAUUGAGGCUCCAGGUGUAGAAACAGCCUUAGGGUUCAGAUUUGAAGGUGUUAGUAGCAGUGAUGGUGGCGCAGGCGAUGGCGCUGACAAUGGCAGCAGUGGCUCUAGUGUGGCAAGAACGGCAGUGCUAAUGCUGCUGAAGUUGGUGGUUAUAGUAUUGGUGGAGAUGCUGGUGGGAGGGGAUGUGGUGGAGGUAAAAGUGGUAAUGAUGGUAGUGGCUGGGUGUGUGGAUUGGGACGAUGCGGGAGCUGGGGGUGGUAAUCACAGCGGGAUUGAUGGAGGUGGUGGUCAUGGUGCUGGGUGAAGAUGAGGAUGGUGACUGAACUGUGCUGGUGGUGAUGACUGGGUUAGUAGUGAGGAGAUGGGUGGCGGCGCUGGUGGCAGUGGUGAUGGCAGUGAGAGUGACAGCGGAAGCAGGGGUUGUUAUGGUGAUCGUGAUGGUGUGAGGGCAGUGGUGGUGAUGGAGAGGGCCACAGGGGUGGUGCUCAUUAGCAUCACACCAUGUACAGCUCGUGUUAUUCAAAGCACUUUUUCACAUAUCUUCUAAGAGAACAGGAUUCUGAGUCAGAAGAAUGAGUUUGCGAUACAAUUCACCAUCUGCUAGUUGUAUGGUAUUUGGCAAUCAUAUCCUCCCUUGCACUCCAUUUGCUACCUCUAUUAUUAUCAGAAGGGAUAAUAAUAUCUCUCAGGGUUGCUCUUAGGCUCACAUGAGCUGCUACUUAGAAAAGUUAGGAUACUACAAAUACACAAGGUUUUCCGAUUCUCAUCUUCUUGAUCAGGUGCCUAGCUGAGGAGGCAGGAGCCUUCCAGGGACAAGACCACCUGAUGCGUAAGCAAAGCCUGUGGUGUGAUACGAGAGAACCAGGAUGGCUCCUAGCCUGCAGGCUGAUCACUUUGUUUUAGCUUCCAUCAUCAUUAGUUGGCUCUGUGGAGCUAACUGCCCUAUUCCUUUUGUGCCUUUGCUGAUGUGUACACAUUUCCAAAUAAAAGUCAUGUCUGGUGUAAGCAGAAGGACAUGUGGAUAUGGAAUGAGGGGGUCUGCAGCCACCCCCAGCCCAGUCACUAUCUCUGUAGAUAAGAGACCCCCAUUCCCCCUCCUCCUCCACAUCUUAGGAAAUAGAAAGGCUGGACUGGCCAUCUCCAAGGACACUUCCAGUUAUAAGAACCUGUGGACUUUGGUUUGGGUGGGCUCCCUGGACAGUCUUCCCUCUGGAAUAAGACAGUUAGCAUAAAAGCUCAUAUAAAAGGCUGGAGUCCCAAGAUCCCGUAGCUUGAGCUAGCUCUGGGCCAUGCCACGCCUCAGCCACCACUUCCAGCCCCUGGUUCCACAUUAGCCAAGCUUUGUUUUGAAAAGGUCCAGGGAGAAAUUUAUUGCUAUAAGCUGGAAGUUGAUUGGCCACAUUAAGAGCUCAACUUCCCCCUUCCUUUAGUCCCACUGACUACAAAAGGAGCUUUGUCUGCUGUAGGGUAGCCCUCCAGGAUGCGACCACAGACAGAAUUCAGCCUUUAAUAGGCUGCAGUGUCUGCUCAGAACACAUGAUUCCCUCUAGCACUGGGCACCCUGUACACUGAUACAGGCCAGGGAGCUAGAGCUGGGGCUGGCUACCUCUGAUGAGGCUAGAGUGAGCACUGGCUGAGGCCACCCUUCUCCCACCAUCCCAGAAUAAACAGAAGUUGCUAGACACAACCAAGUGAGCAAAGAGAUUGUCCUUUCUCUGGGGCUCCUUCUCGGAUUACAUUCUAAGGGGCCAUCCAGGGUCUCACCUGGUGAGGAGAAUCUGACAUGUGAAUAAGAUGGGUCAGAACCUUGUACUCAGAGCUUGCAACAUCUCCCUUUCUGCCUUCUCCCCACCUUCUUGCCUAGCCUACUGGCUGACAGCUCCACCCCACCCGAAGGCUAAACUGGGAGGCAGAGGAAAUUCUCAGGCACCUUGCAGUUCCUGGGAUCCUCUUCCAUCCUGGUUCCCAGGCCCUUCGGGGACUCCACCUGAACCAUCCUCAUCCACACACCCAGCCUUUCACUCUUCCUGCCCCCAGAUGCUCCUUCCUCUACUCUCAGAAGGUCCUCAUGAUCAAAAAGCAAUCUGUAAACCAAUCUAAGCUAGUUGUGAUUUCCCUGUGGCAAGGCUUCUGUCUUCUCCACAGCAGCUUCUCCCCCCAAGCUCUUCAGAGUGCCUGGUAUACCAGGCUCCUCUAAUACAUUUAUGCAAUCAUGAAAUGAAUGGGAAUAAACAUAAGUGAGUGGGUUAUAAUUAAGGUUACUCCUCUCAUGGGCAUGUGCAUUUUGUUCCUGUAACUAAAUCCUAGUGUGAGAGAGAUUUGAUGGCAAAACAUUUUCCACUGGCCAAAAGAUCUCAUCUAUUAGGUGUCUUCCCUACAUGUAAGAGGACCCUACCUGAGGUGGGCAUGGGGCUGCUUCCCGAGAGGGAAGUUGCCCUGGUGGGACAGAGGAAAGAAGCAAUGAUUUUCUGGCUUUCUGAAAAUGUGGCCUAGAGGCAGGCUCGAUUCUGCCCAGGCUACAAAAAAAGAAUUAUUCAACACUGCAGCUGCCCCAGCUGCAGGGAAGCAUUGAAAGGGUUUGGUCCAUCCACUGGCAGCCCGCCAAGCAUGAGGCCACAGCUGUAAUACUCAGACGAGAGGACAAAAGUCAGAGGGGAGAUGAGGACUGCUUGCAGUGGGAGAUGAGAGAGAGAUAAAGGUGCAGUGGACACUGGGGAAGGAAAUGGAAUCUGACACACAGAUGUUAUGGGAAAGGCUUUCCAUGGAGAGUGAACAGAGAAAGAAUCAAGGCCCAGUGACUAGAAGACAUAGCUAUGUUGGGCAAACAGUUUGGCAAGGUACCAGGUACAUGAAGAGAGUAGUUAAAAAUAAACCUGAAAGGUCAAUUAGGAUCCCAUCAUGGAGGCCCUUAGGCCAUGAUGAAGAAUUUGAAUUUUAUUCCAUAGGCAAUAGGAGCACUUGAGAAUCUUUUAGGGAAAAAUAAUGUGGAAUAAUGAUGGGAAUAAACCAAAAUUUUCUGAGCAUCAAAGGGCAGGAAUUUUUCCAGAUGUGGU
ensembl:lncRNA